ensembl:lncRNA
AUCCGCCCAAGACUUCGGACCUCUCCUUCUGUAAAGCAUGGACUACCCGAUCAGCAUAAAUGAGUGCAUGGCCAGGCGGGAACUGUGACAUUUGAAACAUAGGGACCCUGCUCGUGUGGUGUCACUCUGCUUCCGUGUGAUUGAUACAGGCCACAGCAGGGGCUUCAAACAACAACGAUCUGAAAAUCAUUGUAAGCUACAUGUCAGAAACUACACCCCGUCAAUGAAAAGACCUACCCAGAUCUUUACGAUCAUCAGAACAAGGGGAAUCAACAAGGAGAGAGGGAAGGGAGCAAUGGAUAGUAUUGGAACCCAGCCCAGCAGGGACUUACAUGCUCAAGCUAUAUCUCACAGAUGGUAGGAUCUCAGGGAGUUGAUGUAGGAAAUCCACUGAGUAAUAUUGAUCUGUGGAAACAUCCUCUCUAUGCCUGAUAUCCACAGGAUGUCCACUUCCACCGGGGGCUGCAGUGAGACAUAGCUACUGGGAUUUCCAAUAGUACCCACUGCCCUCUGACAGACACCUGCUACGUGGACCACAGCUCCACAUCUCUCCAUCUAGAUUCUACUCUACAGCAUGGUCGUACUGCAGUGAAACACAAUGUCUGGUGAUACUGAAUAACUAAUCUAAUCAUAUAGAAAUGUUUUGCUGUUUUUAUACCAGUAUAUUAAAGUAAGCAUAUAAAAAAUGUUUACGGUUUGUCAUGGCAUGAUGUACGCAAUUAGAUUAGAUUGUUCUUAGUAAGGAUGAUGAUUAUCUCAAUAAAUAAAGAUUUCCAUUGAAAAAUGUGGUUUAAAAAGGAUUAACGCGACAGGGUGUUUAUAUGGCUUAAUAUUGGUUUAGACCACUUGGUAAUUCAGAUAUAGCGACUGUCAGAUGUACUAUCAGACAACUAUUGAGAUAAAGAAAAUCUUG